GAUCAAGCUACAAAGGGCGCACGGUGAAUGCCCUGGCACUAGGAGCCGAUGAAGGACGUGAUAAGCUGCGAUAAGCUACAUGUAGGCGCACAUAGCCUGUGAUAUGUAGAUUUCCGAAUGGGGAAACCCAUCUAGUUAUGCUAGAUACUGUAUACUGAAUACAUAGGUAUAUGGAGGUACACCUGGGGAACUGAAACAUCUAAGUACCCAGAGGAAGAGAAAGAAAAUUCGAUUCCCUAAGUAGCGGCGAGCGAAAGGGGAAGAGCCCAAACCAGGAACUUGUUCCUGGGGUUGCGGAUAGAUCAUAACGCUUUGAUUUCUUUAGUUGAAGAGAACUGGAAAGUUCCGUCGUAGAAGGUAAUAACCCUGUAGGCGAAAAGGAAAGAAAAGUAGAUCUACUCCAGAGUACCACGAGACACGUGAAACCUUGUGGGAAGCUGGGAGGACCAUCUCCCAAGGCUAAAUACUACCUAGUGACCGAUAGUGAAGCAGUACCGUGAGGGAAAGGUGAAAAGAACCCCGGAAGGGGAGUGAAAUAGAAUCUGAAACCGUGUGCCUACAAUCGGUCGGAGCACAUUAAAGUGUGACGGCGUACUUUUUGUAGAACGGGCCAGCGAGUUACGAUAUAUAGCAAGGUUAAGCACUUAUGGUGUGGAGCCGAAGGGAAACCGAGUCUGAAUAGGGCAACUAGUUGUAUAUUGUAGACCCGAAACCGGGUGACCUAUCCAUGGCCAGGAUGAAGCGGAAGUAAAAUUCCGUGGAGGUCCGAACCACGUUGGUGUUGAAAACCAUGGGAUGAGCUGUGGAUAGCGG
rnacentral:ncRNA from 1 species